GAACUCGAGGGGAAGGAGACACGGAUGAAAAUCCACGAGGGGCUGGGUUUGGGUGGGUUCCCAUCCCUUUCCCACUGGCAGGUGCCAGCCUGCCCAGGGGGAACAGGAGCUCUUUCCUUGGUGGCAGCCUCAAUUCUCACCCCAAAUAAUCCCAAAUUUUUGGGUUUUCUGCCCAGAGGGAACAGGAGCUCUCCUUGGUGGCAGGGCAGCCUCAAUUCUCACCCCAAUCCCAAAUUUCUGGGGUGCCUGCCCAGGGGGAAGAAGAGCUCGCUCUCCCUGGUGGCAGUCUCAAUUCUCACCCCAAAUAAUCCCAAAUCUCUGGGUUUUCUGCCCAGGGGGAACAGGAGCUCUCUCUCCUUGGUGGCAGCCCUCAAUUCUCACCCCAAUCCCAAAUCUCUGUGUUGCAGAUUCUUCAGGAAACAGGGAUAAACUCCAAACGAGGAGAUGGCAGAGUUGUGA
rnacentral:lncRNA from 1 species